UGGUCUUGACAUAGAAAGAACUUUCCAGAGAUGGAUUGGUGCCUGCUUGCAGGAGCUUUCAUACAGGUGCUGCACGGCUGUCGUCAGCUCGUGUCGUGAGAUGUUGGGUUAAGUCCCGCAACGAGCGCAACCCUCGUCGUUAGUUGCUAACAGUUCGGCUGAGAACUCUAACGAGACUGCCUACGCAAGUAGGAGGAAGGUGAGGACGACGUCAAGUCAUCAUGGCCCUUACGACCAGGGCUACACACGUGCUACAAUGGGGUAUACAAAGAGCAGCAAUACGGUGACGUGGAGCGAAUCUCAAAAAUGCCUCCCAGUUCGGAUUGUAGUCUACAACUCGACUACAUGAAGUUGGAAUCGCUAGUAAUCGUAGAUCAGCUAUGCUACGGUGAAUACGUUCCCGGGUCU
rnacentral:rRNA from 1 species